UACAGAGGUCCCAAGCGUUGUUCGGAUUUACUGGGCGUAAAGGGUGCGUAGGCGGUCGGGUAAGUCUGAUGUGAAAUCUCCGAGCUUAACUCGGAAAUGGCAUUGGAUACUAUUCGGCUGGAGAGUUGGAGGGGGGACUGGAAUACUUGGUGUAGCAGUGAAAUGUGUAGAUAUCAAGAGGAACACCGGUGGCGAAGGCGGGUCUCUGGGCAGUAACUGACGCUGAGGUGCGAAAGCGUGGGUAGCAAACAGG
rnacentral:rRNA from 1 species